AGGCAUUGUGCAAGAAUGACCGUGUUGAUGCUGCACACAAGCUGUUUGUCGAAAUGUCAAGUAACGGCUGCCCACCUUACGUGGUUAACUAUACGACUAUGGUGUCUUCACUGUGUAAAGCAGACACCUUUGGAAGAGACAUGGAAGGCAUUGUCAUCGUUCGCAUGUCUCCGCCACAUGCGUUGCCAGGUUCGUUCUACUCUAUACUUUUAAUGAUGUUGUUUGUGUGUUUUUUAGGUGUUUGGAAAGGGUGGGGAGGAGAUAGAUUUAUUGCAACAACAAGGGAUUCACGUAAAAAUUGUUCCUGAUGAAUAUGGCGCACUGAGAAUAUGUUGGCAAUUCGAUAUGAACAUGGCCUAUGGACCUUGCCAUGGAAUGACCAGAAUGCCUCGGUGUGAGCGUGCCUGUAAUCUUAGUCUGAACCCUCCAAAAGACAUUGAGACACUUUUAAA